rnacentral:rRNA from 1 species
UAAUACUAGGGGUGCGAGCGUUGUCCGGAAUCACUGGGCGUAAAGGGUCCGUAGGCGUCCCAAAAAGUCAUCUGUUAAAUACACCGGCUUAACCGGUGGUCUGCAUUUGAAACUGUUGGGAUAGAGUAUAGGAGAGGAAAGUGGAAUUCCUGGUGUAGCGGUGACAUGCGUAGAUAUCAGGAGGAACACCAAUGGCGAAGGCAACUUUCUGGCCUAUUACUGACGCUGAGGGACGAAAGCGUGGGGAGCGAACAGGAUUAGAUACCCUGGUAGUCCACGCCGUAAACGAUGAGUACUUGGUGUCGGGGGAAUCGACCCCCUCGGUACCGGAGCUAACGCAUUAAGUACUCCGCCUGGGAACUACGACCGCAAGGUUG